rnacentral:rRNA from 1 species
UUGACGGGACCGCACAAGCGGUGGAUGAUGUGGUUAAUCGAUGCAACGCGAAAACCUUACCACCUUUGACAUGGCAGGAAUCCUAAAGAGAUUUGGGAGUGCUCGAAAGAGAACCUGCACACAGGUGCUGCAUGGCUGUCGUCAGCUCGUGUCGUGAGAUGUUGGGUUAAGUCCCGUAACGAGCGCAACCCUUGUCAUUAGUUGCUACAUUCAGUUGGGCACUCUAAUGAGACUGCCGGUGACAAACCGGAGGAAGGUGGGGAUGACGUCAAGUCCUCAUGGCCCUUAUAGGUGGGGCUACACACGUCAUACAAUGGAUGGUACAAAGGGUCGCCAACCCGCGAGGGGGAGCCAAUCCCAUAAAGCCAUUCGUAGUCCGGAUCGCAGUCUGCAACUCGACUGCGUGAAGUCGGAAUCGCUAGUAAUCGUGGAUCAGAAUGUCACGGUGAAUACGUUCCCGGGUCUU